rnacentral:rRNA from 1 species
GACGAACGCUGGCGGCGUGCUUAACACAUGCAAGUCGAACGGAAAGGCCCUGCUUUUGUGGGGUGCUCGAGUGGCGAACGGGUGAGUAACACGUGAGUAACCUGCCCUUGACUUUGGGAUAACUUCAGGAAACUGGGGCUAAUACCGGAUAGGAGCUCCUGCUGCAUGGGGGGGGUUGGAAAGUUUCGGCGGUUGGGGAUGGACUCGCGGCUUAUCAGCUUGUUGGUGGGGUAGUGGCUUACCAAGGCUUUGACGGGUAGCCGGCCUGGGAGGGUGACCGGCCACAGUGGGCCUGAGGUACGGCCCAGACUCCUACGGGAGGCAGCAGUGGGGAAUAUUGCACAAUGGGCGGAAGCCUGAUGCAGCAACGCCGCGUGCGGGAUGACGGCCUUCGGGUUGUAAACCGCUUUCGCCUCUGACGAAGCGUGAGUGACGGUAAUGGGUAAAGAAGCACCGGCUAACUACGUG